CCUACGGGGAGCAGCAGUGGGGGAUAUUGCACAAUGGGGGGAACCCUGAUGCAGCGACGCCGCGUGGGUGAAGGAGUAUUUCGGUAUGUAAAGCCCUAUCGGCAGGGAAGAAGCAAGACGGUACCUGACUAAGAAGCCCCGGCUAACUACGUGCCAGCAGCCGCGGUAAUACGUAGGGGGCGAGCGUUAUCCGGAUUCACUGGGUGUAAAGGGAGCGUAGACGGCCAUGCAAGCCAGGGGUGAAAGCCCGGGGCCCAACCCCGGGACUGCCCUUGGAACUGGAUGGCUGGAGUGCGGGAGGGGCAGGCGGAAUUCCUGGUGUAGCGGUGAAAUGCGUAGAUAUCAGGAGGAACACCGGCGGCGAAGGCGGCCUGCUGGACCGCGACUGACGUUGAGGCUCGAAAGCGUGGGGAGCGAACAGGAUUAGAUACCCCUGUAGUC
rnacentral:rRNA from 1 species